GACGAACGCUGGCGGCGUGCUUAACACAUGCAAGUCGAACGGAAAGGCCCUGCUUUUGUGGGGUGCUCGAGUGGCGAACGGGUGAGUAACACGUGAGUAACCUGCCCUUGACUUUGGGAUAACUUCAGGAAACUGGGGCUAAUACCGGAUAGGAGCUCCUGCUGCAUGGUGGGGGUUGGAAAGUUUCGGCGGUUGGGGAUGGACUCGCGGCUUAUCAGCUUGUUGGUGGGGUAGUGGCUUACCAAGGCUUUGACGGGUAGCCGGCCUGAGAGGGUGACCGGCCACAUUGGGACUGAGAUACGGCCCAGACUCCUACGGGAGGCAGCAGUGGGGAAUAGUGCACAGUGGGCGGAAGCCUGAUGCAGCAACGCCGCGUGCGGGAUGACGGCCUUCGGGUUGUAAACCGCUUUCGCCUGUGACGAAGCGUGGGUGACGGUAAUGGGUAAAGAAGCACCGGCUAACUACGUG
rnacentral:rRNA from 1 species